GCCUGCAUAGAUCAGUGGUUAGAUCGCUUUCACUCAAUGGCCUGAAAUCGGAAAAUAUAUGAAGAGACGGAGGUUCGAAUCCUCCUGUGGGCA